AACGAACGCUGGCGGCAUGCCUAACACAUGCAAGUCGAACGAAGGCUUCGGCCUUAGUGGCGCACGGGUGCGUAACGCGUGGGAAUCUGCCCUUGGCUUCGGAAUAACAGUUAGAAAUGACUGCUAAUACCGGAUGAUGUCGCAAGACCAAAGAUUUAUCGGCCAGGGAUGAGCCCGCGUAGGAUUGGGUAGUUGGUGGGGUAAAGGCCUACCAAGCCGACGAUCCUUAGCUGGUCUGAGAGGAUGAUCAGCCACACUGGGACUGAGACACGGCCCAGACUCCUACGGGAGGCAGCAGUGGGGAAUAUUGGACAAUGGGGGCAACCCUGAUCCAGCAAUGCCGCGUGAGUGAUGAAGGCCUUAGGGUUGUAAAGCUCUUUUACCCGGGAUGAUAAUGACAGUACCGGGAGAAUAAGCUCCGGCUAACUCCGUGCCAGCCGCCGCUGUAA
rnacentral:rRNA from 1 species